rnacentral:lncRNA from 1 species
UCUCCUAAACCUAAAAGAUAUUAACUACAAAAUAAACGCAUUCAAUAAUCCAACAUAGGGGCGAAUAUUUAGGCUAGGCAGAAUUUUUAACUACAAAAAAGGUCUCCAAAACCUUAAAGCUAUAAACUACUCCAACAUACGUAGGGAGUAGAACGAAUAGGAAAAACAUUAGGCAAAAUUUUAUUACCUUUCCUAGACGGUUAAUAAUAGGAGAAUAAUUAAAUAGCUAUUCCAAAAUUAUAGGAGAAUUAAUUAAAGGAUUAUUUCAAAAUAUUAAUGAAAUACUUAAAUUACUAUUUUGUCUAAUGUGAACUCUAUAUUUUAAAGGGUAAAAAAGGCGAACGAUAUUUCUCUAAGGACCUUCGUGCUUUUAAUAUAGUAUAGACAUAGACUAGUAUAGUAUUAGGAUACGCGCGUUGCGCGUGUACCCCAUUUCAAAGAGUAAUAUUUUACUAAAAAUUAAUUUGACUUAUUGUGACGACCGGCCAGUCGUGUCAUGAGNNNNNNNNNNNNNNNNNNNNNNNNNUCUGCUUCUUUAUGCUUCGUUAUCCGUGUUUUAUGGUAUCAGGUUGGUCGGAUUGAGUCCGGAAUGAUUUUGGUAAGGUUUGAGACACUUAGUCUCUUUUAAGGAAGUUUGAGUUGGAAAAGUCUAAACCUAAAAGAUAUUAACUACAAAAUAAACGCAUUCAAUAAUCCAACAUAGGGGCGAAUAUUUAGGCUAGGCAGAAUUUUUAACUACAAAAAAGGUCUCCAAAACCUUAAAGCUAUAAACUACUCCAACAUACGUAGGGAGUAGAACGAAUAGGAAAAUAUUUAGGCAAAAUUUUAUUACCUUUCCUAGACGGUUAAUAAUAGGAGAAUAAUUAAAUAGCUAUUCC